ensembl:misc_RNA Metazoa_SRP Metazoan signal recognition particle RNA
GCCGGGUGUGGUGGUGCAUACCUGUAGUCCCAGCUACUUGGGAGGCUGAGGCAGGAGAAUCACUUGAACCCGGGAGGCGGAGGUUGCAGUGAGCUGAGAUCACACCACUGCACUCCAGCCUGGGUGACAGAGUGAGACUCCGUCUCAA